rnacentral:rRNA from 1 species
GACGAACGCUGGCGGCGUGCUUAACACAUGCAAGUCGAACGGUAAGGCCCUUCGGGGUACACGAGUGGCGAACGGGUGAGUAACACGUGGGUGAUCUGCCCUGCACUUCGGGAUAAGCCUGGGAAACUGGGUCUAAUACCGGAUAGGACCACUGCCUGCAUGGGUGGUGGUGGAAAGCUUUUGCGGUGUGGGAUGGGCCCGCGGCCUAUCGGCUUGUUGGUGGGGUGAUGGCCUACCAAGGCGACGACGGGUAGCCGGCCUGAGAGGGUGACCGGCAACACUGGGGCUGAGACACGGGCCAGACUGCUACGGGAGGAGGCAGUGGGGAAUAUUGCACAAUGGGCGCAAGCCUGAGGCAGCGACGCCGCGUGAGGGAUGACGGCCUUCGGGUUGUAAACCUCUUUCAGCACCGACGAAGCGCAAGUGACGGUAGGUGCAGAAGAAGGACCGGCCAACUACGUGCCAGCAGCCGCCGUAA